UACGUAGGCAGCGAGCGUUGUUCGGAGUUACUGGGCGUAAAGGGUGUGUAGGCGGUUCUUUAAGUUUGGUGUGAAAUCUCCCGGCUCAACCGGGAGGGUGCGCCGAAUACUGAGGGACUAGAGUACGGGAGAGGAAAGUGGAAUUCCUGGUGUAGCGGUGAAAUGCGUAGAUAUCAGGAGGAACACCGGUGGUGUAGACGGCUUUCUGGACCGUAACUGACGCUGAGACACGAAAGCGUGGGUAGCGAACAGG
rnacentral:rRNA from 1 species